GACGAACGCUGGCGGCGUGCCUAAUACAUGCAAGUCGAACGCAGUGGGGAAGGGUGAGUAACACGUGUGUAAACUCCCCAUCAGAGGGGAUAACACUUGGAAACAGGUGCUAAACCUAUCCUGAUCGCUGAACCCGCGGUGCAUUAGCUAGUUGGUGAGGUAACGGCUCACCAAGGCACCGAUGGAUAGCCGACCGGAGAGGGUGAUCGGCCACACUGGGACGGAGACACGGCCCAGACGCCUACGGGAGGCAGCAGUAGGGAAGCUUCGGCAAUGGACGAAAGUCUGACCGAGCAACGCCGCGUGAGUGAAGAAGGUUUUCGGAUCGUAAAACUCUGUUGUUAGAGAAGCGGUAUCUAACCAGAAAGCCACGGCUAACUACGUGCCAGCAGCCGCGGUAAUUC
rnacentral:rRNA from 1 species